rnacentral:rRNA from 1 species
GACAGAGGUGCCAAGCGUUAGGCGGAAUCACUGGGCUUAAAGCGUGUGUAGGCGGAAUGGUAAGUACCUUGUGAAAUCCCACGGCUCAACCGUGGAACUGCUUGGUAUACUGCUUUUCUUGAGCCACUUAGGGGCAACCGGAGCAAACGGUGGAGCGGUGAAAUGCGUAGAUAUCGUUUGGAACGCCAAUGGUGAAAACAGGUUGCUGGGAGUGUGCUGACGCUGAGACACGAAAGCCAGGGGAGCAAACGGG